GAUCCUGGCUCAGAACGAACGCUGGUGGCGUGUCUAUACAUGCAAGUCGAGCGAGGCAGCAAUGCCGAGCGGCGAACGGGUGAGUAACGCGUAAGCAAUCUGCCCCCAUACCAGGAAAUACCCGUGCCAACGCGCGGUUAAUGUCCAGGAGAGUGGCCUUCCGCAUGGAGGGUUGACUAGAGAUUUAUCGGUAUGGGAUGAGCUUGCGUCCGAUUAGCUAGUUGGCGGGGCAACGGCCCACCAAGGCGACGAUCGGUAGCCGGCCUGAGAGGGUGAUCGGCCACAUUGGGACUGAGAUACGGCCCAGACUCCUACGGGAGGCAGCAGUAGGGAAUAUUGCACAAUGGGGGAAACCCUGAUGCAGCAACGCCACGUGUGGGAAGAAGCAUUUCGGUGUGUAAACCACUGUCAUGAGGGAAUAAGGCCCUUAUUCGUAAGGGAUUGAAUGUACCUUGAGAGGAAGCACCGGCAAACUUCGUGCCAGCCGCUGC
rnacentral:rRNA from 1 species